ensembl:snRNA U6 U6 spliceosomal RNA
GUGCUUAUUUGGAGCAGCACAUGUACUAAAAUUGGAAGGAUACAGAGAAGAUUAGCAUGGCCCCUGCGCGAGGAUGACUCGCAGAUUCAAGAAGCUUCCAUAUUCUUA